rnacentral:rRNA from 1 species
UACGGAGGGUGCAAGCGUUAAUCGGAAUUACUGGGCGUAAAGCGUGCGUAGGCGGUUCGUUAAGUCUGUUGUGAAAGCCCCGGGCUCAACCUGGGAAUGGCAAUGGAUACUGACGAGCUAGAGUGUGUCAGAGGAUGGUGGAAUUCCCGGUGUAGCGGUGAAAUGCGUAGAGAUCGGGAGGAACAUCAGUGGCGAAAGGCGGCCAUCUGGGACAACACUGACGCUGAGGCACGAAAGCGUGGGGAGCAAACAGG